AUUGAACGCUGGCGGAAUGCUUUACACAUGCAAGUCGAACGGCAGCACGGGGGCAACCCUUGUGGCGGGUGGCGAACGGGUGAGUAAUACAUCGGAACGUGCCCGGUCGUGGGGGAUAACGUAGCGAAAGUUACGCUAAUACCGCAUACGAUCUGAGGAUGAAAGCGGGGGACCUUCGGCCCUGCCGCGAUCGGAGCACCCCAUGUCAGAUAAGUUAGUUGGUGGGGUAAAGGCCUACCAAGCCGGCGAUCUGUAGCUGGUCCGAGAGGGCGACCAGCCAGACUGGGACUGAGACACGGCCCAGACACCUACGGGGGGAAGCAGUGGGGAAUUUUGGACAAUGCGGGAAAGCCUGAUCCAGCCAUACCGCGUGCAGGACGAAGGCCUUCGGGUUGUAAACUGCUUUUGUAUGGAACGAAAAGGCUCUGGCUAAUACCUGGGGCUCAUGACGGUACCGUACGAAUAAGCCCCGGCUAACUACGUG
rnacentral:rRNA from 1 species